rnacentral:rRNA from 1 species
ACGAACGCUGGCGGCGUGCUUAACACAUGCAAGUCGAACGGAAAGGCCCUGCUUUUGUGGGGUGCUCGAGUGGCGAACGGGGGAGUAACACGUGAGUAACCUGCCCUUGACUUUGGGAUAACUUCAGGAAACUGGGGCUAAUACCGGAUAGGAGCUCCUGCUGCAUGGUGGGGGUUGGAAAGUUUCGGCGGUUGGGGAUGGACUCGCGGCUUAUCAGCUUGUUGGUGGGGUAGUGGCUUACCAAGGCUUUGACGGGUAGCCGGCCUGAGAGGGUGACCGGCCACAUUGGGACUGAGAUACGGCCCAGACUCCUACGGGAGGCAGCAGUGGGGAAUAUUGCACAAUGGGCGGAAGCCUGAUGCAGCAACGCCGCGUGCGGGAUGACGGCCUUCGGGUUGUAAACUGCUUUCGCCUGUGACGAAGCGUGAGUGACGGUAAUGGGUAAAGAAGCACCGGCUAACUACGUG